GAUGAAGAACGUAGCGAAAUGCGAUAAGUAAUGUGAAUUGCAGAAUUCAGUGAAUCAUCGAAUCUUUGAACGCACAUUGCGGCCCCUGGUAUUCCGGGGGGCAUGCCUGUUCGAGCGUCAUUUCACCACUCAAGCCUCGCUUGGUAUUGGGCAACGCGGUCCGCCGCGUGCCUCAAAUCGACCGGCUGGGUCUUCUGUCCCCUAAGCGUUGUGGAAACUAUUCGCUAAAGGGUGUUCGGGAGGCUACGCCGUAAAACAACCCCAUUUCUAAGGUUGACCUCGGAUCAGGUAGGGAUACCCGCUGAACUUAAGCAUAUCAAUAAGCGGAGGA
rnacentral:misc_RNA from 1 species